GAUGAACGCUGGCGGCGUGCCUAAUACAUGCAAGUCGAACGCUGAAGGCGUAGCUUGCUCUUCUGGAUGAGUUGCGAACGGGUGAGUAACGCGUAGGUAACCUGCCUGGUAGCGGGGUAUAACUUUUGGAAACGAUAGCUAAUACCGCAUGACAACAGCUAUUGCAUGAUAACUGUUGAAAAGUUGCAACUGCUCCACUACCAGUUGCACCUGCGUCGUAUUAGCUAGUUGGUGAGGUAAAGGCUCACCAAGGCGACGAUACAGAGCCGAACGGCGAGGGUGGGCAGCCGGCCUGGGAGGGAGACAGGGCCCAGAGGCCCUGGGGAGGCAGCAAGAGGGAUACGGGAGGCAUGGGUGGGAGUCUGAGCGAGCAGCGCCGAGGGAGGGAGGAAGGUUUUCGGGUCGGAAAGCUCGGUUGUAAGGGAAGAACGAGUGUGAGAGUGUAAAGUACAGUCAGUGACGGUAACUUACCAGAAAGCAACGGCUAACUACGUG
rnacentral:rRNA from 1 species